rnacentral:rRNA from 1 species
UAAUACGGAAGGGGCAAGCGUUGUUCGGAAUCAUUGGGCGUAAAGGGCGCGUAGGUGGUUCUGUAUGUCUAUCGUGAAAGCGUACGGCUCAACCGUAUUUUGUCGGUAGAAACUGCAGGACUUGAGGCUGGGAGGGGCUGGUGGAAUUCCCUGUGUAGCGGUGAAAUGCGUAGAGAUGGGGGAGAACACUCGUGGCGAAGGCGGCCAGCUAGACCAGUUCUGACACUGAGGCGCGACAGCGUGGGGAGCAAACAGGAUU